UGCCUCCUGGUACUUACCACAGGCUGUGUUUUUGCAUUGCCUGUAUAGAAAAAGGAGGCAAAGUAAACCUACCCCAUAUACACCUCAGCUUAUGCCCUGUGCCUGGUCUGAAUUAUGAAUGAUGAGUUGUGG
rnacentral:snoRNA from 1 species